AUGCAAAUUACCCAUUUACACAAUUUCAGAUUCAUCAUCUGCCCAUUCGUAUUUCUUAUAACAAUUCAAAAACCAUUAAAUCGAGAAACUCAAGAAUGUAAAAAAAAAAAAACGAGAGGAAAAUAUGAAAGCGAUCAGAACCUGUCGGGAUUCAUAAAUAACAUCAAAGAAUAUCAGCGGAUUGACAGACAUAUGAAUUUCUAUCAUCACUUCGCUUUUCUUUUCUUUCCCCUCUAA